rnacentral:rRNA from 1 species
ACGGGGUGCAGCAGGCGCGAAAACUUUGCAAUGUGCGCAAGCACGACAAGGUUAAUCCGAGUGUUUCCUGCUAAAGGAAUCUUUUGCUAGUCCUAAAAACACUAGCGAAUAAGGGGUGGGCAAGUUCUGGUGUCAGCCGCCGCGGUAAAACCAGCACCUCAAGUGGUCAGGAGGAUUAUUGGGCCUAAAGCAUCCGUAGCCUGCUCUGUAAGUUUCCGGUUAAAUCCAUUAGCUUAACUGAUGGGCCGCCGGAAAAACUGCAGAGCUAGGGAGUGGGAGAGGUAGACGGUACUCGGUAGGAAGGGGUAAAAUCCUUUGAUCUAUUGAUGACCACCUGUGGCGAAGGCGGUCUACUAGAACACGUCCGACGGUGAGGGAUGAAAGCUGGGGGAGCAAACCGGAUUAGAUACCCGGGUAGUCCCAGCUGUAAACUAUGCAAACUCAGUGAUGCAUUGGCUUGUGGCCAAUGCAGUGUUGCAGGGAAGCCGUUAAGUUUGCCGCCUGGAAGUACGUACGCAAGUA